CUUGCACGCUGGCGGCAGGCCUAACACAUGCAAGUCGAGCGGAUGAAGGGAGCUUGCUCCUGGAUUCAGCGGCGGACGGGUGAGUAAUGCCUAGGAAUCUGCCUGGUAGUGGGGGAUAACGUCUGGAAACGGGCGCUAAUACCGCAUACGUCCUGAGGGAGAAAGUGGGGGAUCUUCGGACCUCACGCUAUCAGAUGAGCCUAGGUCGGAUUAGCUAGUUGGUGGGGUAAAGGCCUACCAAGGCGACGAUCCGUAACUGGUCUGAGAGGAUGAUCAGUCACACUGGAACUGAGACACGGUCCAGACUCCUACGGGAGGCAGCAGUGGGGAAUAUUGGACAAUGGGCGAAAGCCUGAUCCAGCCAUGCCGCGUGUGUGAAGAAGGUCUUCGGAUUGUAAAGCACUUUAAGUUGGGAGGAAGGGCAGUAAGUUAAUACCUUGCUGUUUUGACGUUACCAACAGAAUAAGCACCGGCUAACUUCGUG
rnacentral:rRNA from 1 species